GGAGAGUUGGCAGAGUGGUCGAAUGCGGCGGUCUUGAAAACCGUUGUGCCGCAAGGUACCGGGGGUUCGAAUCCCUCACUCUCCG
rnacentral:tRNA from 4 species